rnacentral:ncRNA from 12 species
GGGUCCGGGGGUUGUGGGCCUCCGGAGGUCAGCGCGGGUGGUCGGGCCGCCACCCG